AGUUUGAUCCUGGCUCAGAAUGAACGCUGGCGGCAGGCCUAACACAUGCAAGUCGAACGGGCACUUCGGUGCUAGUGGCGGACGGGUGAGUAACGCGUGGGAACAUGCCCCUUUCUUCGGAAUAGCCUCGGGAAACUGGGAGUAAUACCGGAUAAGCCCUACGGGGGAAAGAUUUAUCGGGAAGGGAUUGGCCCGCGUUGGAUUAGGUAGUUGGUGGGGUAAUGGCCUACCAAGCCGACGAUCCAUAGCUGGUUUGAGAGGAUGAUCAGCCACACUGGGACUGAGACACGGCCCAGACUCCUACGGGAGGCAGCAGUGGGGAAUCUUAGACAAUGGGGGAAACCCUGAUCUAGCCAUGCCGCGUGAUCGAUGAAGGCCUUAGGGUUGUAAAGAUCUUUCAGAUGGGAAGAUAAUGACGGUACCAUCAGAAGAAGCCCCGGCUAACUCCGUGCCAGCAGCCGCGGUAAUACGGAGGGGGCUAGCGUUAUUCGGAAUUACUGGGCGUAAAGCGCACGUAGGCGGAUCGGAAAGUCAGAGGUGAAAUCCCAGGGCUCAACCUUGGAACUGCCUUUGAAACUCCUGGUCUUGAGGUCGUGAGAGGUGAGUGGAAUUCCGAGUGUAGAGGUGAAAUUCGUAGAUAUUCGGAGGAACACCAGUGGCGAAGGCGGCUCACUGGCACGAUACUGACGCUGAG
rnacentral:rRNA from 1 species